rnacentral:lncRNA from 1 species
UCUCGAUCUUCAUCAGUUCGUCAGGAAUGCGUCCCUAGCGGCGAUCUUUAACUGGACUGCUGCUGCAAGUAUGCCUUCCUUCAGCAGGUUUGGCUCUGGCUCCCUCCCGGCGCUCCGCCGCCAUCCCAUUGAUCGUAUUUAUGUGAUAACUACGCUCUCUAUUUCUACUUUGAGCAUCCUCUUGUACUAAUUGUCUUUUGCACACCGAGAAUAUUGCCGUUUAAGAUGAACGACGCUAACUAGUGGUACAUUUUUGCCUUCUCCAUUUGCUUCAGAGCAUGGCUGUUGAAGGUAAACGUAGGAAAGUGCUGCAGCUAUAGCUAAGAAUGCACAUAAGUUUGGCAUGACUUUAGUAUUGUCAAGGAUAACAAAGGCUAGCAAGGAACUGCAACGGUAAUUGAUGCAGAAGUGUUCCUAUGAAGCUGUCCCCUGUUAGGUUCAUUUAUUUUGCAAAGAGAUACUAUCAACAAAUAUUUGUGAUAUUUAUUCUGGAAAAGGCUUACCAGGAACUAGAUCAAAUGUGCAUGAGCAUAUUUUAAUAGUUUUUCGCAAAACCUUGAAAUAUUUUUGCUCUCAGAACUUUCCAGGUUUGAAAACGAACUGCCAUAGUUUACUGAUCAGUUGCAAGUGUAUUUGGACACUCUUAUAUCUGUGUAACAUUUGAAUGUAUAGUACAAUACUACAAU